GACGAACGCUGGCGGCGUGCUUAACACAUGCAAGUCGAACGGAAAGGCCCUGCUUUUGUGGGGUGCUCGAGUGGCGAACGGGUGAGUAACACGUGAGUAACCUGCCCUUGACUUUGGGAUAACUUCAGGAAACUGGGGCUAAUACCGGAUAGGAGCUCCUGCUGCAUGGUGGGGGUUGGAAAGUUUCGGCGGUUGGGGAUGGACUCGCGGCUUAUCAGCUUGUUGGUGGGGUAGUGGCUUACCAAGGCUUUAACGGGUAGCCGGCCUGAGAGGGUGACCGGCCACAUUGGGACUGAGAUACGGCCCAGACUCCUACGGGAGGCAGCAGUGGGGAAUAUUGCACAAUGGGCGGAAGCCUGAUGCAGCAACGCCGCGUGCGGGAUGAUGGCCUUCGGGUUGUAAACCGCUUUCGCCUGUGACGAAGCGUGAGUGACGGUAAUGGGUAAAGAAGCACCGGCUAACUACGUG
rnacentral:rRNA from 1 species